GGAAAUAAUGUCAAGAUUUGGAAUCAUUUCUGGAGAGAUAAACAACCAACAUGAAGUGGUGUGUGAGCUCACAUAAUCUUUUGCCUUUUCUGCUUAUAUCAGGAGAGAAACAAUGAACAACCUGG